GUUUACCUGGGACCCUAUGGCGGAAUCGUGUAGUUGGGUGCUUUCGUGCUCUAUUACAUGAAAUUAAAGGGGUGCAGGGAGAUUUCGGAUAGAGUCCCAUGAACAAAAUUCAUCAGAGAAAACGUUGAAACACAUUUUGGUUCUGAAGCUCAGCUCACCAGUGGAUGCCAGAAGAUGCAAACAAGAAGUUGUAUUUUUUGGAUUCCACUUCCAGGCAUAGCUGUCAAGUGUCGAGCAGCCCAGUAUUGCCCCAUGGGUAUAUACUGCCUUGGCCCCAUGCAGUUUUCCUAAGGAUCAUCAGGAAAGUAAGGAGUGGCGAGGAAGAGGCUAUUCUACCCUGGUCAGACACACAGCAAAGCUGACACAGCCAGCAGAGCUCUGCAACAGCAAUGGGUCUGCUACCACUUGGUUGAAAGCAUCCUGGCUUCGGCCCAAUCUUACCAAUGCCGUGAAUAGGCAAAAUGCCGUGAAUGGAGCCCAUUCACGGCAACGGCAUAUUACCAAUGCCGUGGAUAGCUAUUCACGCCAUCUCAUUCACGGCAUGCGGUCGAUGUUUAUCCACGGCAUUUUAGCAGUGCUUUAACAUGGGCAGUGGCACAAGCUGCCGCGAGAGCGGCAGAACAAACGCAAAUAAUCAGCUGUUUGCGCUGUCGGUGGCCGUUCCAUUCACGCCACCUUUUAGUGCCGUGAAUGGCGGGUGUUGUGAAAGGGAUAGGUCGCUGGGAGGAUGUUACUAUGCAAUAUUUGACACUAUUAUUAUUUUUUAAGUAAAGAAUUCAUAUAAUGCCCUUGACAUCUUAGAGCGACGAUUACACGCAUGGUGAUUAUUUCAAAAACAUGUAUUUUCCAGGGAUAAAAUCACACUCAAAUCCAUAAAAAUAAACAUGUUUAUUCAUUAUAUGGUCUUAUUUUUCAAAUCCAUACGAGAUCGUGGAGGCGAUUUUAGCACCUGGGCCCAAUCUUACCAAUGCCAAACCUAUCUAUAUGCUAUAAUAUGGGUGUUUCAGUGUUCACCCCGUCCGGACGUCUCACAAACAUAGGUACUUAAUGAUUUCUAAGUAAAUAUUUAAAACAAUUAAAUACCGUAAACUUGUUAAACAAUUAUAUCAGCACUCACAAUGCAUAUUUUACCACUUUCUGUCUGGCACAGACAGCUACGAAGCAUGCUGUCUUCAUGCGUCUCAAUCUGACUUCUAAACUGGAAGCCUUUUUCUUGAUAUGGUUUUGAGAUGUAGAAGAGUUUCUUCAAUAUUUUGAGGAAUUCCUUUUGUUAUCAUGCUUGUCAAGGCUGCGGAGUCGAUGGAUUUUCGGCGACUCCGACUCCGACUCCGACUCCGGCUUUCAAAAACCAGCUCCGACUCCGACUCCGACUCCGGGCAGAAUUGUCGACUCCGACCGACUCCAACUCCCGACUCCGACUCAGCAGACCUAGCAGGGCUGCGGAGUCGACAGAUUUUCGGUGACUCUGACUCCGACUCCGGCUCGGGUUUCUAAAAUCGACUCCGACUCCGACUCCGGUCACAACUGUCGACUCCGACCGACUCCGACUCCGACUCCGACUCCGACUCCGCAGCCCUGAUGCUUGUAAAAAGCAGAAAAAUAGGCUAUAGCUUGAGCUGGCCCGGUGCAUGAACCCAAAGUUUAAGCUUUACAAGCUGCAUUUCAAUUGCAUUAUUCCAAUGACUUAAAAACAGCAGCGGAGCUAUCACUAGGUCGUUACUUCAAUAAUUUUAUCUAAAAAUUGUUGCAAUAUCUUAACAGUAAGUAAAUAGAAAUGAUGAGCAGCGACACGAAGUUGAAAACUAAUCCACUCGAUUUUCUCAGCGCAAGAAUGUCCUCGCGGAAGUUUAUUAGGCCAGUAAUCCGCUUUUCAGGAGAAUUCUUUAGGCAGGCUUUAGUUUUUCAUAGUUUGCUAUCACGUUUUCCACAAAUAACUUAUCCUUCACACAUAUAUAUGUCUCUAAAACAAAUAAACGCCCGACAAAACUUUAAAUAGAGAGCUAUACCUAUUCACAAGCAUUACGCACAAUUUCCAACAGCGAAGGUGACAAGAAUUGACCAAUCACAUUGCGUGUUUUCUGCUGGCGCUGAAUUGUACCGUGGGCAAAAUGCGGUGAAUAGAAAUGCCGUGGUACGGCAUUGGUAAGAUUGGGUAAAUGGAGUGCCGUGGAUCAGCCGCCGUGGUUGGCAUCCACGGCCUCUGCAUCCACGGCAUUGGUAAGAUUGGGCCCUGGAACGAUAAGACUGGGCUGCGGCAGCAGCUGCAGCUCUGUUGGCGCUGUUGGUUAACGAGUGACAGUCUAAGUCGGCCUCGGUUGUCGGCUAAAGGCCGCCGCGGCGCCUAGUGUGGUGAUGGCUGCAAUGUCUGAUGGCGUCUGUGUGAAAGCACAUGCUUAUAGCAGAGAAGAGCUUUGUUUCACACAACGCUGUAUGUUAAAAGUGAAUUGUUAUACGGUGCAUUUCUAGAUAUCUCGGUCAGUGUAUUUGCUGGUGUAUUUUCUCUCGCUGCUUGCCUCGGAUUCCGCAUCGUUCAUUGUGAGCCGUGAGGGUAUAGCUAGGUAGCGGCGAUUCGCCACUGUGCACAUGAUAAACAGGGCCAGCUGCGUGUGCUGCAUUGUUGGGGUUCGUCGUCUGUUGUUUGGCACUGCAUAAAUAUUUGGUCAGCUCAGCUGUGGCCAUUGGUUGGGAAAGCUGGCCUGCAGGGACGAUUGCCGGACGGUACGUGGUGGUCUGUGGGUUGCUGGGACUGAGUCGAGCCGACUGGGUGCUGCGAGACGCGGACGUAAUGUCUACUACAGGCCUACACAGUACACAAUGCUUUUAAGGCCAAAAAUGUUAAUGUAGGCAUUUUAUGUAAACCUCCGUAAAAAUCAUUUGACGCAAGGCUGGUUCGUUAUAAGACAGCGAAAAUCGAGCGGGUUAUUUGUGUAUACUUAUCCCCUUUCUGAACGAUUGUAGCGAUUGUAGCGAGAGUCAGUGUGGUCGACUAUGCUCGAGGCUGUGAGACACGGUAGCUGGUGUGGUCGAUAGAGGGGGGGGGUGGCAGCAGGAGGACGAGACUGAACGGGAGACGUUUGAUGUGAAAUGCCUUAUGCCGUAGUAUCAAAGUAGUAUCCACUAGUGACUUUGCUUGCUAUUGCUGCGCAUGGAAAUGAUGAUAAAAUUUGAAAAC
rnacentral:lncRNA from 1 species